rnacentral:lncRNA from 1 species
UAUUUUGUUGAGGUGCUGACAUGGGUUCUUGUUAUUAAACCUGGUGCUCUGCAAGGCGAGACCGGGACAAGUUGGAGGCUGUCGCCCUCAAGGCAUGUCAAUCACAAAUUGAGCACAGAAACGUGCUGAAGCAAAUGGAUUAGAUCUUACCCACUUUGACUGCUAGCAUGUUGUGCCUUUGGGGGUUCUGCAAUGUCACCUCAGCAGCCGUUGC